GCAUGAAUCAGUCUGCCAAGCGGUGAUUAGAGAGGCCAGACAGGCAGCCUUUCAGGUUGUUAACGGAAUGUGAAGACAUAUUCAAGACAGCAACAGAGAGACAGUGGCAGAUGACACAAGUGGUGAAAGACAAACACACAUAGUAACAGCAAGAGAAGUGGAAAAGAGACCAGUCACUCAAGGGGCUGGCUUCACAACAAGUGCCAACAAAAGAAAGACAACGCGGGUUAACUUCUACAUGGUCCUGUCAGUCCAUCAGUCAGUUAGCUAAUCGGAUAUGACAGCCAGAGAGACAGUGGAAACAAAACUUCUGCACACAACAACUGGAACUACAAUAUCAGUGUGGAUAUAUGAAAAGCUAUCUAUUGAUGAAGGUACAUUUUAGAAUUUACAGUGCCAACAUAGUGCUUACAUUUGCUCACUUGCAACCGUAAUUCAGGUGUUUUGUCAUGGAAUGUAGAGGAUAUACAGUUAUUAUCCAUCCUUUACAUGAAAAGCACAACUGAUUGCCCCAUGAGGAUCUGUUCUUUCCUUAGCACUGUUACAAGCUGCUAAUGCAUGGAGUAAUCAAAAACAGAGGGAGGUCUGACUGGGCAAGGAAAUUUCACGCUACAGGGAUGGGGCACUUUCAUGGGACAGUGCACGGGGGAACAACAAAGGGAGCAAAAUGGACAAACGGUUUUUGGGAUCAAUAGCUCUGGGCUGCAAGAGCCACUGCUAUAUCCAGAGAUAAAGGCUGGCAUUCCAUGACAUUUCCAGUCAGACUGGUAAAUGUCAGAUGGAACAAGUCCACCUCUCUCUUUCACUAAUGACAUGCCACAGAAACCUACAAGGGCCCUUUGUCUUCAUCCCCCAAUUUCCAUUAGUCUAUGUGUUACACUGAUAUGUCUCACUGGUCUGUAAUGCCUUCUUCAGAAACAGUGAUUUUCAUGGCCUCUGGAACUGUCUCACUAUAGCCAUGCUUGCAGCUCUGUGGAGCUCUGUGUGCUCAAAUUAACAUGCUUACAUCGACAAUGCAAACAUGCUGAUGUUUAGCUGGUGUGAUAUACACCAUGCACACCAUCUUAUUUGCAUGUUUUGGCAUGCUAAUAUACACAUUUUUAGCACUAAACACAAUGACAUUCAGCUAAGGCCGAUGGGAAUGUUUUUAGUUUUUUCAGGUAUUGGGAGAAAUGAAAUCUUUUGACCUGACAUUGGCACUAGAUGAAAGGCUAUUGAAAUGCACACUCUACCUAAUUUUAAUUUAUCUGAUCUAAUAGUUGCUGACACAUUUAACUAAAAACAAUAAAUGUGUGUAGCGUAGUCAGAUAUUUCAUCAUCAGUGACUGAAUAUUAGCAGCAAGCUCUUCCUCAGUUGUAGCUUGUCAUUCAUUUUACACUGAUAACACUUAUGUGCUUAUAUUCAAGCACAUAAAAGUAAAUGAGAGUUCUCACUACACUUUCACAUGUGCCACUUCCCACUCUGAUAACAGUUUGUUAGUUCAGAUUCCCUAGGUUUCAGCAUAAAAAACAGUUAAACGCUCUGGGUUUCACAGCUGUCAGGAAAAUCUGAACUCACUCCAUCACGUUUUCGACACACACAUAGCGCAUGCCUUCCCCACCAUCUCACACACAUCCUGCAAUUGUGAUGCACACUGUUAACACUCCCACUGUGCCUUUUCUAAUGUAGUAACACAACACCCCCUAAAAAUAAGCACACAAGCAAAUCCACACACAGACUUGUCAGCGCUAUAGGUAAUAGAGGAUUUCCUGGCUAUUCCAGACACAUUUUUCAGAUGCAUCUCUUGCUCUCUGUCUUCUUCCCCCUUGUGUCCCACCCUCACUCCAUUCAGGCUGUAGUCCACUUCUUGGUGCCUCCCUCUUCCCCCUUCCCUUUUAGCUCCAGAGCUCCUCUACAGGGCUCCUCAUGAAUUAUUUGUGGCAAGAUUAUAGCAAUCGCUCAUGGCUCAUUAAGCAUCAUAGGCAUUGCCUAACAGCCCGACACUGUGCCGGGGUCGUGUUCCAAGCCCAGCCGUCUGCCAUUGCUGUCGAGAUACAGGCUGCCGUGAGCCUCCCCACCCCCACCUCGAGCACACUACAUACAUGUACACAGAUGCGGACAAACACACACCAUCUUCUGAAACACAAGAUUUACCUGCGUCUCAUUUGACUAACCAUCCAGGUACAGACCUGAAACUGUAAUUACAAUGUUUGCAUGAGUAGACAUCUUGAGAUCUGAGCAUGAGUUGCAGUGAGGGACAGGUGGAAUGACACACACACACACACACAGACCAUGUGGAUAACUGGCUGCUUGGCCAUGUUGUUCCUCCCUAGCCUCCAAAGCCAUUGACUGAUGAAUCAUCCAACCACCCUUACACUAAUCUCUUGAGUGGGUGGUUAAGGAUCACACACGCAUACACACACACCUGGCUAAGUUUGCUAGCAUCUGUCUUCUAAGUAAUGUUCGUGGGAAGGCUCAGCAGCUCAGACGGCAUUUCAAAAUCUUGUCAUGAGCUGAUUCACAAGAAGAUCACGAGUGCUAUUACAGCACAGUUUAGCAGAGCUUAUGCAUUGUCUGUUAAAAUGUGAAAUGUGGCAGAACUGGGCAUGGGGGACACAUAACAUACACAAGGCCACAAGGUUUAUUAAAAAGUAU